GACGAACGCUGGCGGCGUGCUUAACACAUGCAAGUCGAACGAAGUGGCGAACGCGUGAGUAAUACGUGGGUAACCUGCCCUCCUUUUUGGGAUAAGCCUUGGAAACCGGGUCUAAUACCGAAUAUCGGGGGUUGGGCUCGCGGCCUAUCUGCUUGUUGGUGGGGUGAUGGCCUACCAAGGCGGUGACGGGUAGACGGCCUGAGAGGGUGAACGGCAACAGUGGGACGGAGAUACGGCCCAGACGCGGAAGGGAGGGGGCAGUGGGGGAUAUUGCACAAUGGGCGAAAGCCUGAUGCAGCGACGGCGCGUGGGGGAUGAAGGCUUUCGGGUUGUAAACCUCGUUCGCUAUCGAGCGGGUAGGUGGAGAAGAAGCGCCGGCUAACUACGUGCCAGCAGCCGCGGUAAUUC
rnacentral:rRNA from 1 species